rnacentral:rRNA from 1 species
UACGGGGGGGGUAAGCGUUGUUCGGAAUUACUGGGCGUAAAGGGCGCGUAGGCGGUCAGCACAAGUCAGUUGUGAAAUCUCCGGGCUUAACUCGGAAAGGUCAACUGAUACUGUGCGACUAGAGUGCAGAAGGGGCAAACUGGAAUUCUCGGUGUAGCGGUGAAAUGCGCAGAUAAUCAGGAGGAACACCGGUGGCGAAGGCGGGUCUCUGGGCGAACUGACGCUGAGGAGCGAAAGCGUGGGGGAGCAAACGGA